UACGAAGGGGGCUAGCGUUGCUCGGAAUUACUGGGCGUAAAGCGCACGUAGGCGGCUUUCUAAGUCAGGGGUGAAAUCCCGGAGCUCAACUCCGGAACUGCCUUUGAUACUGGCGAUCUUGAGAUCGGAAGAGGUGAGUGGAAUUCCCAGUGUAGAGGUGAAAUUCGUAGAUAUUGGGAAGAACACCAGUGGCGAAGGCGGCUCACUGGUCCGAUACUGACGCUGAGGUGCGAAAGCGUGGGGAGCAAACAGG
rnacentral:rRNA from 1 species